rnacentral:rRNA from 1 species
UCGUAACAAGGUAGCCGUAGACUCGGGUGGCGAGCGGCGGACGGGUGAGUAAUGCCUGGGAAAUUGCCCUGAUGUGGGGGAUAACCAUUGGAAACGAUGGCUAAUACCGCAUAAUAGCUUCGGCUCAAAGAGGGGGACCUUCGGGCCUCUCGCGUCAGGAUAUGCCCAGGUGGGAUUAGCUAGUUGGUGAGGUAAUGGCUCACCAAGGCGACGAUCCCUAGCUGGUCUGAGAGGAUGAUCAGCCACACUGGAACUGAGACACGGUCCAGACUCCUACGGGAGGCAGCAGUGGGGAAUAUUGCACAAUGGGCGCAAGCCUGAUGCAGCCAUGCCGCGUGUGUGAAGAAGGCCUUCGGGUUGUAAAGCACUUUCAGUCGUGAGGAAGGUGGUGUUGUUAAUAGCAGCAUCAUUUGACGUUAGCGACAGAAGAAGCACCGGCUAACUCCGUGCCAGCAGCCGCGGUAAUACGGAGGGUGCGAGCGUUAAUCGGAAUUACUGGGCGUAAAGCGCAUGCAGGUGGUUUGUUAAGUCAGAUGUGAAAGCCCGGGGCUCAACCUCGGAAUAGCAUUUGAAACUGGCAAGCUAGAGUACUGUAGAGGGGGGUAGAAUUUCAGGUGUAGCGGUGAAAUGCGUAGAGAUCUGAAGGAAUACCGGUGGCGAAGGCGGCCCCCUGGACAGAUACUGACACUCAGAUGCGAAAGCGUGGGGAGCAAACAGGAUUAGAUACCCUGGUAGUCCACGCCGUAAACGAUGUCUACUUGGAGGUUGUGGCCUUGAGCCGUGGCUUUCGGAGCUAACGCGUUAAGUAGACCGCCUGGGGAGUACGGUCGCAAGAUUAAAACUCAAAUGAAUUGACGGGGGCCCGCACAAGCGGUGGAGCAUGUGGUUUAAUUCGAUGCAACGCGAAGAACCUUACCUACUCUUGACAUCUACAGAAGCCAGCGGAGACGCAGGUGUGCCUUCGGGAACUGUAAGACAGGUGCUGCAUGGCUGUCGUCAGCUCGUGUUGUGAAAUGUUGGGUUAAGUCCCGCAACGAGCGCAACCCUUAUCCUUGUUUGCCAGCGAGUCAUGUC